rnacentral:rRNA from 1 species
GGCAGCAUUUUAGUUUGCUUGCAAACUAAAGAUGGCGACCGGCGCACGGGUGAGUAACACGUAUCCAACCUACCGAUAACUCUGGAAUAGCCUUUCGAAAGAAAGAUUAAUACUGGAUAGUAUACGAAUAUCGCAUGAUAUUUUUAUUAAAGAAUUUCGGUUAUCGAUGGGGAUGCGUUCCAUUAGUUUGUUGGCGGGGUAACGGCCCACCAAGACUACGAUGGAUAGGGGUUCUGAGAGGAAGGUCCCCCACAUUGGAACUGAGACACGGUCCAAACUCCUACGGGAGGCAGCAGUGAGGAAUAUUGGUCAAUGGGCGCAGGCCUGAACCAGCCAAGUAGCGUGAAGGAUGACUGCCCUAUGGGUUGUAAACUUCUUUUAUAUGGGAAUAAAGUUUUCCACGUGUGGAAUUUUGUAUGUACCAUAUGAAUAAGGAUCGGCUAACUCCGUGCCAGCAGCCGCGGUAAUACGGAGGAUCCGAGCGUUAUCCGGAUUUAUUGGGUUUAAAGGGAGC